UAAUAAUAGGGAAAAUGUUCUGGAAUAAGGCAGAGGUCAUAGAGUUGUGUGACUACACAACCUGGCAAACAUACAGAGACUACUGAGUUUUAUAAAUGAAUUAUAUCUCAGCACUGUAUCUCGGACAAACAAGAAGCAAACAGCAUGAAAUAUUCAAGAGGAAUGAACAUCCAAGCUGAGCCCCUUAUUCACACAAACCAUAGGGAGAGCGCGUCAAUUCUACCAGCACACCGCAGUUGCUAAGUCUUGGGCGCGCUACCCCGCUGGUGGAGCGUUGUGUUGCCAGAGUGCAGCAAGACAGCCUGGCGGAAGGGGCGAGCCCUCGCAUAUUCCCGGGGACAGAUACCAAGUUUGGGCGCCAGGGAGACCACGGUGACAGCAGCGCCCACCUCUCCCACCCGCAAGGUGCUUCACAGUUUAUCGGGCAAGCUCACGCUCCAGCGCUCGCCAAUUAGGACAAGAACAAGAAGAAUGAAGACAGAUCACAAAGGAAGGCUCAGGAUGUUGUCUAGCACAUUUUAA
rnacentral:lncRNA from 1 species